GCCAAUUUUAUUCAAAUAAUUCAGAUGAAACAAUUGCCUUCUUAAAGUUACAUACUUAUCAUGUGCUUUUUAGUCAAAUGAAAACUGAUAAUUUUCCCGCUACAGAAUUGCGUCAAUAGAAUCCAGAGUCUUGAGUAGCCCAGUUAGGUGCCUCUGAUCUACCACUCUGAUUCAAUUUCUUCUCAAUGUUCAUAGCCAACAUUUGACUACGAAAAGACAGGCUUUUGGUCUUCUCAAUCACUUGUUGAUAAGGUGACACUGCAUUGUUGCCCAUAACUACAUGGCCCAGCUUUGAAUCCAGUUUGGCAUCUAAUCGUGCAUUUCGGAUUAGAUUGACAAUCCAUCUUUCUGCUUCCUCAGGAGUCAUAUUUAGUUUAUCUGCCAACAUACCAAUGCUGAUACACUGAUGGAUGCGACAGAAAGUCUCAAAUAUAAAGAGACGGGCAUUCUCAAUGAAGUCCUCGAGGCAUGCAACUAAGAAGAAAUCAUUCACAAGCACUGUUUCACACUCCCUCAGCUUCUUCUGUGCACCAUCAAAAUCAAAAUUAACAUAUAGGCAUUCCACAAAUUCUGUGAUGGGGUCCCUGUAUGUGUAGGAUUCCUGCUGAAUAACCUUGACUAGGUCCUUCAGCACUUGUCUACGUUUUCGAACAUCCUUAUUUGUUAUGACUGCAGUAGUGAGAUAUCGGAGGAUAUGAGGGCACAUUGUCUGAAUUGCAUUGAGAUACUGUGGUUGAUAGAGAAAGAGGUCAAUGAUAUUGUCUCUCCCUUUAGGAUGAUUAAAAAACACAAAUAAAGACCAGUGGAUGAGCCACGUUCUUUGCUGAAGAGACUGCAGUGGAGAGCUGACUGAAUUAUUAUCUAUUGUCUCCUUCAAUCUUGUGAGAUCUUCCAUGGCUGCAUCCCAAUUCUGCAUGAGAAUUUCAGAUGCCAGUUUCCCCCACAGUGAACUCAGAGCAUUUCUGUCUGUUGCUGGAACCAGAACUCUGAAGAAGUACAGGUAUUCUGCAGCUCCGGAGUAAUUGCCACAUUCGUACUGGAAUUUUGCAUACCUGUAGAGUGUAUCUAGGUACUCCUGUCUAAAACCAUGCUUCUCAGCUAAGUAGUCAAACAGCAUUCGACCAUCCCUAGUAGACUGCAUUUGCCUUGUUGUCUCUGGAUCCUCAAACAUCUUGACAAUAGGUUCAGUUUCAGCUUGAAGCUGUUUCAGCUGUGCAACGACAGUUGUUCUCUUCUCACGCAAAGCAUGUGGAAUUUCAUCAGAAUAAAGAUUUUUGUACACAUCCAUAGCAAAAUCCACCAUGUUGGUAUCACUAAGGAGAUCCAGUUUUCCUUGAAGUAGUUCUUUUUCAUUGUAUAUCUCCUUGACAGAGAGGAACUCCAGCAGCGGAAAGACCAGGUGCCGGUCCAAGAAGUGCGCGAUCUUCGUGGUCAGGUCGUACUCCGCCAUCUUGGUGCGGGAAGGAAAGAGGCGGGGCGAACGCCGGCACGCGGGGAAGCGGGCGGUGACCGCCUCUCUUAAGGGCCGUGCGCCUGCGCGGGGAUUGCGCCUGCGCGGCUCCGCCCGCCCCCACUGAGGGGAAUUGUCUAUCCGGGCCUGCGCAGGAGGUUCUGAUGUUCGCUGUUGUAAGGGAGACAGGGGUGUUGUGGGGGUGGUACAGCUGCAACAGUGGGAUCUUUGAGCUUACCGUGUGAAAGGAGCGAGUGGGCUGGGGUCUGGGAGCUUCCAGUCCCAAACGUGAGGUGGGCUGGAGUCUGUGUGGGUGCUCACUGUAGGACCACAGUGUUAGUGGUGACUGUGGGGCCUGUGAGCCUCCUGAAGAUGCUAGCAGGUGGCAGAGAUCCAGGCAAGCGUGGGAAUACUUUAUUAAGUUUGGCCAUAGAAACAGAGGAGUCACUAAUGUUAUGGUAACCUGCAUACUGUGUGUAACCUGAGUCAGGAGAGCAGCAAGUUCACCAAAAUGUAAACUCAGACAUGCUCCAAGUGGUAUAGAAGGUGCACUGUGCUUAUAAAGGCUUCAGACUUAAAUUGUCUAGAAAUGAGCAUUCUACAACAAUCAGAAAUUAAACUCAGUAGAUCAGCUGGAUUUGUAACCCACCCUCCCGUUCUUUGAGUGGCUUGACUCCCUUCUUCAUUUUUUCUACUAAUCUGUUCUUCUAUUACUACAUUAACACACGUUAUAUCCAAAUAUUGAACAAGCUCAACAGAGGUACUUGUUUUGUUUUUGUUUGUUUUGUUUACUUGAUGAUGGGCUCUUUAGAUUCAUUCAUUAUAGCUUUGACAUGGAGACGGAAGGGACCUGUGGUGGUGGAGAUGAUGUCGUACAGCUAGUUGCUAUGACAAAUGUGGUUUUCCUUUACAAAGACUGGUCCUGAAAAUGUUUCCAAUGUGUGUGGUCUAGGCUGCUGUCAGAUACAUGGGGUGUGUAAAGACAAAUAUGUACCACAGCUGUACUGUACAUUGGAAUGUGAAGCUGGUAUCUGGUAUCUAGUAUCACGUCAUGCUGAAUCUGUAGUAAUGGCUAAAGCAGGUAAGUGAGAUGUUUCACAAGGGCUUUUCUCACAGGUUUUUCCAUAGUUGGCCUCUUUUGUUCCUAUAUUCCAUGAUCUUUCUCCUGCCUGACCUGGAGUCUGGUGCAUCAUGGGGAACUUUUCAACCUUUAACACUGAAGAACUUUUCUUCUGCAUUUGUAAUUUCAAGUUUUCGUUUUUACUCUAAAAGCUGUGUGUGACAUACCUCUUGUCAGAAUCUUUUCACCAGUGGUCAAAAAUGUAUGCAGUAAUUUGGGUGGAGAGGGUCUAAAAUAUGGUGUGUAACUGUAACUUUGUGCCCAGUGCUCUCAUCUGAACUGGGGGGUUGUGAAUGCUGCUGUCUUUUUAUUUCUGUUAGGUAAGGGAAGAUGGCUAUGAACAACAAGAUGAAGAACUUGAGAGAAUCAUCUGAUUUUCAAAUCUUUCAGCUUUUUUACUUUUGCUGGUGACUGACAUUAACCCACAUUUGUUAGUUUUCUUUUUUAAAAGGUGUUGAACAGAAGAAUCACCCACCUGGUAAGCAGCCUGCAAAAUCUAAUAGUAAAUAAGAACUUCCUCUAACUGAGGUAAAGUGCCAUUGAACACCUAGAAGACAAGUUUCUGCUUGAAGGAUGGAAAUGAAUCACUACUUUCUCAGUUACUAUACAUAAUAAUACAGUUCAUUUCAGUUGCACAAAAUUCUUUAAAGCAUUUCCUUUUGUAUAGUUUUGUUGUUUUUUGUUUGUUUUCUAAAAAUGUCACAUUGUUUCUGACAAUACAUGGAAAAUAUCUACAUGUUUUACUAUCAGCGAAGAAAAAAAAUCUAACUAUCAGCACAUUUUUAUUCAUAGCAUUCUGCUUUAAAGUUCAGCCUCGUCAGAAACUUGGGAUAAGCUGUGUGAAAUAGCUUAUGUAAACUGUGCAUAAUAGAUAUAUGAAGGUGCUGCUUGAGAGUGUUCUCUGACUUCUAUCAGGGCACAGAGUUGAAUUUAUCCAAAUGAGUUGUGUCAUCCUUUCAAAUUAUGCAUGACUCCAGUGUUUGUCACAAGAACAUAAGGCCUAUUCCAUCCUUGAGAAGGCAUAAAUUAUUUGCUUAUUGAAUCAUAGGUACAGACUGUGCCUAUGGCAGCUACAGUUACUGUUCAUGUUGAAUAGUGAGUUACUGUAGUUGUAUUACAGAGUAGUUUUAGAGUUGGUUUAUUUUAAAAGUAUUUGAGACAUUGGAAAUAAGGAUUUAAUAACACUUACUAAGCCAUUCUGUCACCGUUAGUGAUGUGCUUCCUGUUUUACUACAGAGACAUAAAGGCAGUAGAAUACAAGAAGAACAGUGAACAACAGUAUUAGAGCAGUUGGGGAAUAAUACUGCCAUGGUAGCUUUGGUAGAAGGCUGCAGAACUGCCAGUGGAAAACAGGCUGUGAAGGUACAGAUGGAGGGCCUGUAGCCAUUCAAAAUGCUAAAGCAUCCAAGGUGUUGUGCAGUGCUGCUUUCUAUUUUACGGAUGACUAUCUGCGAGAAGUUAAGUGCAGUGGUGAGUGAAAAGGUGUGAAGAACUGGUUGGGGAUGGCCUUUUAGGAAACAGCUCUGACAGUGCUGUGCUUAGAGGAGCUGUCUGGACAACUUUUUAUUUGAUGUAAAUUCCCAAAGUGAAAUAUACUAUGUUGAGGAGUAUUGCUCGAAGAAAAGAAAAGACCAUCUACCUUCUGAAGCAAUAAAUAUCACUGAAAUAGCUACAUUGCCCUUGAUGAAAAUUAUUCUAAAAUACACCUUCAUGGCAAAACAGUUUUAGUCAGUUUUAACUGCAUAACUGGAAAUUUGGAUUUGUUUUGAGCUCUUGUACAAACACCUGACUGAGAAUUAGUAUGAGGUGUUAGUAACCACUGGGCAAGCUUUCAUAUUUGACACAGACCAGACGUGAAGCCAGAGUGCUUUAACCUUGUGGACCACUUCCUUUCUGGAAAUUCAUUUUACUGUACUUACGAUAUUUACCAAUGUGCUUAAAAUCCGUUUUUCUUGAUGAAAUAAAUGCCAUUUGGCUAGAAUUACCUAGGAAAAUAUCUUAAGAAAAUUGUUUCUCUUGCUGUGGCUGUGAUUCAGUAAUUCUUAACUAGUGAACAAUUUUUGUCUAAAGGAUACCAAUUACAUAAUUGGUCAUCGUUUAUCUCAGUGUUACCGUAACAGUGAAAUCCAACAUUCUUCAGGUUGUUAGAAUUAAAUAAUCAUAGUAAAAUAUUUUUUCCUCUUGUAUUAUCAAGGGGACGCUUAACCUUUUGCACAUCCUUUGAAACAAAUGAUAGAUUAUGUGAUUUAGAUCUUAUGUAACUUGUUUAUUUUUUUUCAUUUUGGUACUUACAAUUUGGAAGUAGGUGCCUUUUAGCCUUUUUUUUAAUAUUUGAAGAAAAUAUUUAAAUGUCUGCAUGCCAUUAUUUUUUUUAUUUAUCUUUAUUGAAACAAAAAUAUUCCUGAAGUCAAGAAUGGGACGUGUACAAGAAUUCACUUCAUAGUCAUAGAAUUGUUUGAAUUGAAAGGGAUCUUCAAAAGUCAUCCAGUCCAACUCCCCUGCAGUGAACAGGGACACCUACAGCUAGACCUGGUUGCUCAGAGCCCAGUUCAGCCUGACCUUGAAAGUCUCCAAGGACGGGGCAUCCACCACCUCUCUGGGCAACCUGUCCUACCACCAAUUUCCCCAUUAAAACAUGUCCUUCAGUACCACAUCUAAAUGUUUCUUGAUCACCUCCAGGGGCGAUGACUCAGCCACCUCCUUGUGCAGCCCGUUUCUUUUCCAUGAAAAGGACCACCUCUCCUACAAGGAUAGACUGAGAGAGCUGGGGCUUUUCAGCUUGGAAAAGACAAGGCUGUGAGGUGACCUGAUAGGAGCCUUUUAGUAUCUAAAAGGGAGCUACUGGAAAGAAGGGGACAGACUCUUUAGCAGGGUUUGUAGUGAUAGAACAAGGGGGAAUGACUUCAAGCUUAAAGAGGGUAGAUUUAGGUUAGAUAUAAGGAAAAAAUCUUUUACAGUGAGGGUGGUGAGGCACUGGAACAGGUUGCCUAGUGAGGUGGUUGGUGCCCAGUCCCUGGAGACUUUCCAGGUGAGGCUUGAUAAGGCCCUAGGCAACCUGAUCUAGCUGUGGUGUCCUUGUUGCAGGGGAGUUGGACUAGAUGGCCUUCAGAGGUCUCUUCCAACUCUAAACUGUAAGGAUUCUUUGAUUCUAUUGCUGGCUCAUGUCCAGCCUACCAACCACCACUACUCUCAAGUCCUUUUAAGCAGGGCUGUAGUCUGUCUUGCCCCCUAGCUUGUACUGUUAGCAGGAGUUGCCCCAAUGCAUGUGCAGGACCUUACACUCGCGCGGUUCUUCUGGGCCCACUGCUUGAGCCUGUCUGGGUGUCUCUGAAUGGUAUCCUGUCCCUCAGGUGUGUCAACCGUACCACACAGCUUGGUGUCAUCUACAGAUAAUCUCUGUCUCCAAUCUUUUGCUACAGUUUUAAUUUUGUUUUCGAAGCUAGUGAGAAAAGGCAAGAGAAAACAUUAUUUAAUUUGAAAAUAGCAAAUUUAGCUGUUUCUGCUUUGUCCAGUUCUCUGCUUUCAAGACAUUUGAAAGGCCUGUUAGAAGGCAGAACUGGGAUUUACAGAAGACUUCAGUGAGCUUAGUUGGAUUGCUUAGGAAUAAAUGAAUUUGGCUCUGUAAGUAUGACAUAGUAUGCUUUAAAUAUACAAAACAAGACAAAGGAAAUUGUAAGUAAAGCUUUUUAUCCCGACAUUCUGGAAUCAGCGAGGAAGGGCAUAAUUCAGUCUCAAAUCUUUUUUAUUGGUGAUGAUGGGUGAGCCUGAAAGAAACCAGUUCUGUUUGCUAGUCCCAAGUUAUCAGCAGGCAGAUUUGGAGAGAAAACAAAGUUCAAGAUACUCCAACUCAGGAUCAAAGGAACAAAUGAAGCUUUACAAAAUAUUCAUGUAGUAAAGUUAUGUUCCAAAAUAGCUGUAUAACAUUGUAAGUCAAUAUCAUAUGUAAAUUAAUAAAUCUUUUGUUGAGUAGCUUAAAGUUCAUUAGGAAGAGUUAUUCCUUUUUUUAAGGAGAGAGGGAGAAAAAAUUCCGAUGGGCAAUUAUUUUGAAACCUUUUACCUUCUGGAAGUAUUGGGGAUAGAAUAAUAGGUUAAUACAGAAAUGUUCCCCAACUCUUCAUGCUGACAGACUCUUAUUGCCUUGCUUUUCUAUCCUUUAAUGUUUCAGUUUUAGAUUCAGGUAAGAAAAAUAAACAAUUGUAGAAUGACAGUACAUGAAAAUCUGAGUUGAAGGUGCUGCAAACACUUGUAGCACCAGACUUCUUAAGUUGAAAAAUAUCUGAAUUUGAUAUGAACGUGGAUUCAGCCAGGAGUUUAAUGACCACUGUUACGUAGUCUCAGAUAUAUUUUCUCUUCGUAGCUUUAAAGCAAACAGGACUUGAAACUAUUUCAUCUUAAGGUAUUCACAGUAUUUUAAAGUGUUUUUAAAAACUUCUUAAUGGAGAGGAUGCUUAAUUUUCCCAAUGACUUCAGCAUAGAGGCUGCAGACUUCAAGCAUUAUGUAGCAAAUAGGUACGCUGCUUAAAAAGGAAGACUGACUAGAUUUCUUUUUUUUUUUAAUCAAAAAAUAAAAGGUAAAAUCACAUUCAUGUAUGUCGGGAGUAGUACCUGUAGAAGUUUACCAACCUGUGAGGAAUUCAUUUCUGUCGCAUUUUCUUAUUUUAGAAUCAUGCAAAUACUUUGUUUCUGCUUUUUUAGUUACUGCAGUAGUUAAGUAAGACUGUGAUGGAACUGGUCAUCUUCCUUUCAGUAACUGUGGCAUGUUGUAGGUACCACACUGCUGUAAUAAGGUGUAAUAAGAGUGCUGUAAUACUCACAACCCUACUUUUGACUCCUAAGCACAGAGUUUUAAAAUAACUGAAAGAAGUAACUGAAAGAAGUACUGAUAUAAAUGUGUUUACCCUGCUUGCUCCAUAUAUUCAUGAGGAGCUAGUAAGCUCUGAUUCAGAGGUCUGAAGCUCAAUGUGAACAACUUUGUUAAAAGUCCUCCUAAUUAGAGCACAAACAGAAAGAUUGACUCACAAUAAACUAAUGGUCAGGCAAGCUUAAGGGGAAAAUCGUGGGAUGGAGUAAGAUUGUUGAUAUAUAUUCCUUCUUUUUUAGAUUUAAAAUCCAUUGUUAUACAACUACUAUCAGUAGUAGCAGGCCCAGCCAGAAACUUAAAUUCCUCAGAAAAACAGUUCAGAGUCAGAGCUGAGUGGAAGGGAGCUGUAGCUCCUCCUCUUCUCACUUUGCCACCUACAGUUUUUUUCAUAAACCCAUCCACUGUGCUGCCAAAUAGCUCAUUUCUCCUGUGAGAAAGAUGGGGUCAAGGAGACCAGGAACUUGAAGUUGUCUGCUGUGUACAUGGACAGGGCAAGUGUGGCAGAUAAGUUGAGAGUGUUUCUCAACCUAAACUAAAAAUGUUUCUAUGAGCAAAUGGUCCCUGAGCACCCUUGGCAGUUGUUUCCAUAUAUUAACCUUGAUCCCCAGAAUCUUUCCCUACUUCCAGGAUUUCUACUUCAGUUGGGAUUUUCACCACCACCUUUUCAUGCCCCUUUCUUCUUUCCAAAGCCUUAUCUUUAGAGGGAGCCCUUCUCUGAGGUGCUUCACCUCUCGCUUUCCCAAUCUAAGCAGUUAAUGUACAGAAACAAUGCGUGAUCAGCCUCCUCAUAGAGGGUUUGGUUAUGAACUGGAGGAUUUGGUAGGUGCCAUUCUGCACACCCUGUUUACCAAUAGCACCUGAGAAGUAGCAGUCCUCUGAGAGUUUAAAAGUUCAGUUUUGAAGAUGCGUGUAGACCCAAUUAUCAGCUGCUCAGUAGAUGUUUUUUUGUUGUUAUCUUUAUUUUUGCUUAUGAUGAUAAUGCACCAAAGAUGCCUGAAAAUACAAAAUGAAGCUGGCUGCUCUCGUUUUUUGUCCAUGAGAAGUGGGCUGAGUCACCAUGCAGACUGUGACAAAAGCAGUCCAGUCUCAAAGUUCUCCCUGUACUCAUCUCAAAUCAGCUUCUCCAGGAGGGAUAACAUUGUCGGCACAGUUGAUGAGGAGGAAAAUUGAAGCAGGGUGAUGAUAAAGACUUACUCAGAGCUAACACAAUAGACUGGUAGCAGAAGCUAGGAAAGAGGGAAAGAUCUGACCUCAGUCUGGUCUCUAGCAGUACUUAAUUGUUGUAGGGGCCUCCAGUCGGUAAUGAGUCUAAGACAGUGGAAAGGCAGAGUUUCUCACGGCGCGGGGGGUUGUGGUGAAGAUGUUCAUUCCUUUUCUUUUGUUCAAGAGCUGUCUUUGAAGGCAUUGUUCCUCCACAGCUGCAGUAGCCUACAUUCAUUGUGAUAAUUAUGGGACAAUAUGUAGGAUGGAUGAUUGAUACAUGAGAUAAAGUUGUGUAAGACUAUUACUAGAAGAUCAUAUGGAGAUAAUAAAUUAUGCAAAGACAGCUCAAAGAAAUACGCUAAGGACAAUUUUAGUGGGGUGCAAAAAUGGAAUGGGGACAGCAGAUCCAAACCAGGAUAAAAAUGGGUGGGAAACGAAAUCCAGCAGUCUCUCCAACAAAUCACAUAACCGGGCACGAAUUGUUACAGACAGGUAAGGCAGAAAAAACACAGGAAAUAGUUCACAGACAGAAAAGAAAACAAAUUAUUCAUGAUUAUGAAAAGCCCUGCACUCCUUGUGCACCUCAUCUCUUUCUUUCAUACUAGAAUGAGAACUAAGUGCACUGUUCUUCCCUUGGCUAGGAAGUCCAGGUGUGUGGGCAGGGUCUGGCUGUUGGAGAGGUUGGGACCAGCAGACAUGCAGCAGAGCUUGCGGAGCAGCCUGGUUAGAGCUGCAGAGGUGUUGAGAUACAAUGCAGGAGAGACCGCUGCCUUCCUGAGUGAGGUGCAUUCAGAGCAUGGGAAGCAGAGCACAGGUAGGCAGGAGGUCAUUCCUAACGGGUGGGAGAUAUGUCGAUGGUAGCACACAGGCAAUGAAUGUUCCUUCUUUUUUCUUUUAGCCUUAGUCAAAUUAGUUCCCAGCUCUUUAUUAAGGUGUUUUGAGAGCCAAGUAUUCUUACAUUUCCCAGCUCUUCUUUUCUUACUGUGAGUCAGUUGUGCUGUUCUUCUUGGCAGUUUGAAUUUAGCUUCAAGAACACUUCGGAAGAUUUUGUAACAAAAAAUUGGAGAGGUCGAUAAAAAAGUGAAGAUGCAACCAGAUAAACUGAUGUUAUUAUUAAAGGAUUCAGUGAGGUCAAGAUACUCAAUAAGCACCUACCGGGAACACCACUUCGGCAUUUUAGCAGAUGCUGUAAGAAAUGAAGACUCAGUUGGAUACUUUGCAACAGGAACAAGCAGUGGAAGGAGGACUCUCAGAUUAAUGAAAUCACCCUGUGGCUGUGGCCUUCUCUCUCUUUUGAAAAUAAAGGGAGAUUAGCUGCUGACUGCAGUGUUCUAAGUGCCUCCAGUGGUACGAACUGGCUCAGAAUCACCAUUCUAAAUGCAGCCUCAGAAAGCAUAGAGAAGGGAGAGCUGUCUUUCCUUUCCCACUGCUGUAUACAUAGUGUGUUACUGAUCUACACAACUUUUCAGUCAAUGGAAUACGAUGUCUUUGGUUGUAAUAAUAAUUCUAUCCUGUCCUAACAAGGCUGCUACAUCUGAAUGUCUGGAAAUCCUGUAGCAAAGUCUCUGUGACAUGAUACAAUCUUAGGGAGUUUGAUGUAAAGGCUGUUGAAGGUGGUGGAGUGAAUCUGUUGAUUUCACUGGAUUUUAGAGGAUCAGAAACAGAUAGGAGAUUUUGACCAGAGAAUUAGCCUAACAGAUAACAUAAUUGUCUGCAACAGCAUAACAUUUCCCACGCUGUGUUUAAUUACCUUAAGAUGUCUAUGGAAAUAAAAGAAGUCCAUUUUUCCUUUCCCCUCCCCAAAUACUGAAAACAUAUCAAUUACUCAUACACAUACAUAUACUUGCUGAUCUUUUACACUAUAUCAUUUGAGAAAUUCAGGCAGCACUAGAUGCAUAUGGGUAUAGGACAGUUAUGAAACUGUGAAGUCCUAUGUUUUAAGCUGUGGAAACAACCCUCGUUUGUGAUGUUACAUUAUCUUUAAGCCCACAAGGAGGGUGUGGGGGCUUAUUAUUUCCAUUUUUUUCUAAGCUGAGUUGUUAGCCCUUGAAAAAUGGAAGUGCUGAUAUAAUUUGAAAUAGUAUUUCCUGAAGGGCCAUGUUGGAGCAAUAUUCUAUGAGCUUAAUAAGUCCCAUUGUGAGAGUCAUUUGUCAUUUUAACCCCAGAGGCAAAUUUGUAAAGGUUAGUGAAGGCUAUUUGUCAAAGUUAAAUAAUUCAGCUGCUUAAAAUGUUGUUUCUAAAAUAAGAAGCUUGAAAAUACUACUAGUUGUUGUUUUCAGAUUAUUUAGUUGCUUUUUUUUAAGAAUGGCUCUGGAUAGGGCAGAUGGAAAAAAGUGUCUAAGCUGAAAUUGUUUACUCAUUUGCUUAAUUAUGAAGAAAUGGUUUUCUGUGUAAAUACAGAGAACAGAGCCAGCACAGCGAAAACCGCUCAGUUUAAGAAAAAUAGGAUGGUCGCUCUGUAUUAAAAAACCAAACAUCUCCAUAUGCCAAUCGCCAAUACUCAAAACAAUGAAGAAGUUUCAAAUAGGAUUUGUGUAAGAAGGAAACCGAAUGUAUUAUUAGUUAAAAUGAAUUGUGUAUUCUGCCAUUUGGUCUCCUGUAAACGCGAAUGAUGGUUUGCAAUUCCAAAAUGUCCUCCUCAAUAUGCAUUUCAGAUGGUUAUACUUGGAAGUUUCCAGUCUAGCAAAUUCUCCCUGCUUAAAAACUUGAAUAAACUAUAUAUCAUAGUUAUAUAAACUAUUUGGAAUGCUAAGAUAAAGGACUGAUACAUUCACUGCCUUUGCAGUAGCAAAAGGAUUUGUGGUUAUUGCUUUUGAACAUGUUUUUUAAAGCAUAACUGUAUGAAAAUGCUUAUUAUUGAAAAGCAUAUUCCACUUAACUGCAGCAUUGGCAAUCUGUAGGGAGUUGUGUAACAACCUUUCUUCUUUUAAGUUUGAGGAAUUUAGAGUUUUCUUUGUAUUUUUCAUCAAGUUUCUUUUUGUUAUUUACAGAGUUUAGGUAGCUGAGUUUGCAGUAAGCAUGCCGUAGGCUUACAGGGUUUGAUUUAAUUAAAAUACCCUUUAGUUAGGCAAUAGCCCUUCCACACAGCUUUAUAGCCAGUUACACCAAUUAGUAAAACAAAUACUGAAACAAAAAGGGGAGCGCUUGUUUUCCUAAACUUUUUAAUCAGGAAUCUCGUCCCAAAAGAUGGAUCAAAUUCUCUUUUUUAAUUUAUUCAACAUAAAUGAAUUAAAUUGAAACCUGAUUAGCUCACAGUUGGGAGAAUCUCUCUGCAAUGACUUGGAACACUUGCUAGGGAUUAUCCCUAAAUCCCAAGCCCCAUAUUCUUCCGCACUGCCUUUUCUAGUGGCAUCGUUUGUUCCCAGUAAGAAACCUUAGUGCCUUUCUUUUGGAGGACUGCUGAAAGAGUUAUGCAUCUUUCACCUGUGUUUUUAAGUGCUUAAACGUUAAUAUUAUACUCAAGAAUUAUCCAGUAAGAAUUUCCUGAGAAUCAGUCAAUCAGUGUCUAUAAAGCUCUUAGAGUUACAUGAAGGCAUUGUCCUGUUACUCUAAGCAGAAGGGAACUGCCAUGACUAUAAAGUAGUAGUUCCAUUAGUUUGAUGUCAAAACUAUGCCUGCUUCUUUUCUGUUAAAGACAAAAGCUCUUGUGAAAGUGCUUGCUCAUUAUCGAGAAAUAAUGGGAUAAUAUGGUGCAGUUAAGAAUAAGACUUUUCAUGCUUACAUCAACAAUAUGCUAAUGAUGAGCAUAACAUUAGCCUGUUGACAUAUUGAAUGCUUUAGAAUAAUUGUUAUGUCAAAUGUUUUUAGAAGUUCUACAAAUAAGUCAUAUUUUAAGUCCAGAUCAUAGCCAAAAGGUGGCAGUAUUCUAUUCAAUAUUCAUUUACAAAACAGUAAAAAAUGCAUGUGUUUAUUAAUGCUUUAUCUCCUUCUAAUAUUGAAUCAAACUAGAUGAUUUUCUCUUAAAAUAAAAUCAGUUUAUUAAAAGUAUUCAUUUAGAAUGAAAUCAUGAAUAAAAUUAGCAAAAACUAGUCUGUAUUGCAUAAUUGUUAUGUACUAUGUGUGUAAUUUUUCCCAUUAUAUGUGCAUUUCACUGAAGGACAACUUUUUAUGGAAUUCGUAGGUAGAUCAGAAACUUGCCUUGAAGUCUUAGUAGAGUUAACUGUCUUUAACUUCAAAAAUAGAGAUUAAUCUCGUGUGAUUUUUAAGGAGCCAAAAACGCUGCUGUAUGUUUUCUAUACACUGGGGACUUAAGAAGUGUUUUUCAUAAAGGGAGUAUGGGCUUUUUUGUGCUGAGAUAACAAUAAGUUGAGGAAUUGUUGACAUAUUGGCUCUCUUGACUGCCAGGCUAUUUAACUAUACAUCAAUGUUCUGUCUUAGAAACAUUUGCUUAAAUAUAAUUGCACUUACAAACAUUCUCUCUAUAUAUUUAAACUUUCAUAUAAAAAUAUUCUAAGUAAAUUUUGAUCCAUAGUUAUGCAGAUAUAAAUACAAAAUUUCUGUAGUCAGAGAAUAAGUUCAAUACAGUAAAUAAGUACUUUUUUACAUUAAAUACUUCUAAAAAUCAUUUUCUGGUACAGCCUUUUAGAAAUAUUCACAGGAAAAUCAAGUGGCCAAUACUGGGAACAGGUCUUUGAUUCUUAAAUAUAUUUCGCUCUUUUCAGUGUUGAAAUGUUUUGAUUAAAAUUUAUAUGUGAGAUAGAAGAAAACCUGAUUGAGAGAGCAGGACCUGGGAAAUCUGAUUGCAGUGGUACUGCUGUUUAGCAUAUUUCCAUAUUCAGCUCUUGUAGAGUACACUUCACACCCAUCUAUCUUUUGUAAUGUCAAGGAAAACAGAACUGGUAGAAUUCCUAAGGGAAACAGAAUUAAUAGGCGUCGUUGUUCAACACUGACUUUUCUCUUUUGUCACCUUAUUUUUCAGAAUAGCCCAUUUGCUCACUACAUCCCUAAUGGCUGCUCCUUUAAAAAAAGGCCAUAGAUCUGUUUUAGGCAGCAUAUUUCUGUUUGUGCAUCAAAAAAGGUGCUGUGUAAACUAAUUCGUUACUUAAUCAAGUAAGGCAGACCCCACUGUAUUGCUAGCACAGACUUGGCAAACAUCAUGAACUUAAGCAGGACGGAGAUAUCAGACAAAUACAGUUAGAUGCGACAGAAGGAACUAAGACUAUUCAGAAGACCAAAACAAGUGAUGUUAGUUUCUCAUCCAUUCACUCAUCACUUUCUAACAAAAAAGAAAAGUUCUAGGGAAGUACAAGUGUGUGUUUAAUUGCUGACUUUGCUAAGAAUCUGUUUCGUGCUGGGGUCCGGUGUUUGUGAUCCCUCUGCUUCUACACUGUGUUCCCAAAGGGCAUUUUAGAAAAGCUUAAUUAUGCAGAAAGGCCUGGAAAUUUCCUGAAAUUAUUCUGGGAACAAAUCCAGAGGAUAGUGAAAACUCAAACAUAUUCUUGCACAUGGAUAUUGAAAAGAGCUGUUGCUUGGGGCAAUGUGUUCCCUAGAUAGUUCUGUGUGUUCCUGGGUGUGGUGAAGUCUUCUCAAUGUAUGCAUCAAACCUUAAAGAAAUCCGGUCAGGAACCACAGCGUGACUACAGCAAUAAUAUACUUACAUAAUAUUUCUAAUACUGUGAUCACAUCUAAAUCUGAAGACAAUUUCAUAAGCUUCAAAUAAAAUUUAAUUGUCACAGUUGUGUGUACGUUAAAGACCUUAUACAUGCAUGCAAGGCUUGAGCAAAUUAUGCUCACAGUUUUCUUGUAAUUAAUCUAGAUUGUGCUCUUUUCCCCGCAUUCAGGAAUUAUGCUUAACUGUAAACUCUUUUGUGAUCACAUGAAAUAAGCACUUUAAAUUGAAGUUUCUUUACUAAGAGAAAGAUGAGCUUCCUGAACAAAACAGUACAAGUGGCAGAAACAUUGGGAAGAUUUUCUGUAAAUCAUAUUGAUAUGUGGGAUGUUUGCAUCUGCUGGAUGUGUACAUGCUGUACAUCAUACAUUUACUGCUCCGGGUGCCCUGUGCCUAUGCACUUGUUUUGUGGGGAUGCUAUUUCUGCUCUUUGGAGAGGCUGUGGUUUCCUCUUGAACUUUUCUGCUUCUGCCAACACCUUCUGGUUUGUCUAACUGCCAAAUGCGGCAGCAGGCGGAAUGGGGGAAGCUGUGUGAACGUAUGGCCAUUCCUGAAGUGCAUGUACUGCAUCACAUCUUGUUAAUGGGGGGAGACUGCACUGCUGAGGCCCUAGGGAGUUCACCCUAUGUCUUGCUGACACUUCUCCUAAAGCAUAACUGGCUUGCACAUUUUGUCCCCUGUGUUCCUUCAAGAAAAGUUUGCAGAUAAAUCAGCAGUUUUUAUGAUAUAGCAACUGUUUAGACUUGUCCACAUUAAUUGUGACUAUUAACAGGACAUUUGCUCUUUUCCAUUUGAUAUGGAUUCUCUUUUUCUGGUGCUGUUUUUGAAGCAGACCAUUUAGUAUCUAGCUUCCCAUCUGGUUUUCCAAGCUUCAGUUUUCACUGAGCACACUUGUUUACUUUAGCUACACAUUUAUUAUCUUUUAUUAAUGGCCAAAGUUUGCCAAAAACUGUUUCAUUAGAUUUCCUUGCUUUUAUUCAGGACUGCUUUUCAGGAAUAAAGUCAGAGCAAAAAGUGGUUUCUAGGAAUUCUGGUGUCUGUUAGGGGCUUUGGUGUUUAACUUGGGCAUUAAAUGCACGACAGUGUACAAGAGAAACAUAAUUCAUAUGAAACUAUGCCCAGCUUUCUUGGAAAGCACGGGGAGACAUUUCAGGGACUGAAAUGAAUUUGGUGCCUCCUUUGAGAUAAUGACAGCAUUGUUAAAGGGUAAGAAGACUGGGACUGAGGUUGCUGUGAAAUAAUAGAAGCUGCAGGUCUGUAAUUACAGACAAAAUUACAUGGCACAUAAGCUUAAGUACAACAUGGGUUUCACAAGAAACUGCUGCUUGCAUUUCAGACUUCUGGGAGAUUAUACUCUAGAUUCUGUAGCACUGGUAUCUUCUGUUUCCACUUUUUUACAUUCAUAAACCCACACAAUUUGAACAAUUAAUCUUGGUGAAUAUUAUAAUGCUUUUCAGUAUUGUUUUAAGAGCCACUUAUUGUUUGGCAUGCUUUAUAUUGUAGAUUUUUAGUUUGCCACUUUUCUGCCUGAAACUCAGAACAUUUUCCAUACAUGAUUUCCUAUUUUAGGAGAAUUUUCUGACUUUAAAAUUUCAGUAAAGCUACAUAAAGGAUAAACCUUCUGUUCUGUCCCUCUCAUUCUUCCUUCAGGUAUCGAUAGGGAGCACUUCGAGGAGGAUUUUCAAAUGUAUGAGGUUAUUCUUUGCCAAGGAUUUGAAGUCCCACAUACCUUUGUGGGGCCCUUUACAUUAGGCUUCAGUGGUUUUAAAGGAUUUGAAAACAGUGGAAGCUGGGAGAUAGCUAGUUAAGAACCAAAAAGGAGUGUUAACCAUUUGCCUAUGAGUGUGAUCCUGCUAAGAAUUAGUUAAACUGUUACUGUGAAUAGUUAUUCUUAUGUUCAACAGCCACUGCUUCACAUGUAGUUUAUUCCUGAGACCUGACUUCAUUAGCUUAAGCUUGCUGAGAAGUAAGGUGUCUGCAGGCAUGUAGGUAGUUCUGUAACAGUUCAACCUGUGGGCCGGUUUAGGCGACUUGGAAAGUAGGGCAGAAAUACCAGGAAGGAAGAACUUCCACAGUUGUUUCUGGGACUGAAUGCUGCCUCUAAACAUAUUUGUUCAUCUACCAGAGGAUGAGAAACUUAGA
rnacentral:lncRNA from 1 species